AUACGGAGGAUCCGAGCGUUAUCCGGAUUUAUUGGGUUUAAAGGGUGUGCAGGCGGCCAUUUAAGUCAGCGGUUAAAUCGUGGGGCUCAACCCCAUUCUGCCGUUGAUACUGGGUGGCUUGAUUGCGGUCGAGGUUGGCGGAAUUCGUUGUGUAGCGGUGAAAUGCAUAGAUAUGACGAAGAACACCGAUUGCGUAGGCAGCUGACCAGAUCGCAAAUGACGCUCAUGCACGAAAGUGCGGGGAUCGAACAGGAUUAGAUACCCUGGUAGUCCGCACAGUAAACGAUGAAUACUUGUUUUCGGCGAUAUAAUGUCGGAGGCAAAGCGAAAGCGAUAAGUAUUCCACCUGGGGAGUACGCCGGCAACGGUGAAACUCAAAGGAAUUGACGGGG
rnacentral:rRNA from 1 species